GAGGGGAAAGCGAGUCACCCUGAAGCAGCAACGCCGCGUGAGUGAAGAAGGUCUUCGGGUUGUAAACCUCUGUCUUCGGGGACGAAGAUGUCGGUGGCCCUCACCCAUUGAACGUACCGUUAUACACGGCACCGCCCCCGCUAUAAAGUGCCCGCGGUAAUAGUAUAA
rnacentral:rRNA from 1 species